rnacentral:rRNA from 1 species
ACUCCACAUACGCAUCCUUUGCUGAGGAUACGGUUAACGGAGCGAAAGCGACGUUCAACCGCAAAAGAAGCAGAGGGGGCUUAGUGGUGGGGUGACUGCGUACCUUUUGUAUAAUGGGUCAGCGACUUAUAUUCUGUAGCAAGGUUAACCGUAUAGGGGAGCCGCAGGGAAACCGAGUCUUAAUUGGGCGUUAAGUUGCAGGGUAUAGACCCGAAACCCGGUGAUCUAGCCAUGGGCAGGUUGAAGGUUGGGUAACACUAACUGGAGGACCGAACCGACUAAUGUUGAAAAAUUAGCGGAUGACCUGUGGCUGGGGGUGAAAGGCCAAUCAAACCGGGAGAUAGCUGGUUCUCCCCGAAAGCUAUUUAGGUAGC